AAAACAAACAAAAAAAACUCAUUUUUCAUUGUUUUAUUCAACACUCUCUUCUCCUUAAAGCACUGUUUCUUUCCAACUUUCUCAAGCAGAUCAGAAAUUAUUGAUUUGUGAAGACAAAUUUGGAUGCAACUUCUAUCCCAUUUUCGAUAAAGGAUAUUGAGACACAACGAGUAUGAAGAGAAGUUGCGGUAGUAAGCCGAGCAGAGCUUACAGAAACAUUAGCGUCAUGAAAGUUAGUAUCCUGUUACAUUUUGUUGUGUAUAUCACGGGGUACCUUGGUGUUUAGUUUGUUUUCCUCGAUCCCAUUCCAUUUUUGUAUAUUUUACCGCUAUCAUUGGGAUCUUGUAAAUGAUCUUUUUAUGGUCUGCAACUGAAAACUUGCCGGUUUGGCAUAUAAUAGGUCCAGUCUUGGGCGUUGCAACAAUGCUUCUGAAUCCCUUUGUUGUCAAAUAUUUAUGUACUGCAGGCAUACUCAUUUAUGCAUUAUUAAGUGCUUGUUCAAUUUUUUUUUUAAAA